rnacentral:rRNA from 1 species
AACGAACGCUGGCGGCAUGCCUAACACAUGCAAGUCGAACGAUGCCUUCGGGCAUAGUGGCGCACGGGUGAGUAACGCGUGGGAACCUGCCCUGUGGUACGGAAUAACUCCGGGAAACUGGAGCUAAUACCGUAUGGGUCCCCUGGGACAAAGAUUUAUCGCCACGGGAUGGGCCCGCGUAGGAUUAGCUUGUUGGUGGGGUAACGGCCUACCAAGGCUACGAUCCUUAGCUGGUCUGAGAGGAUGAUCAGCCACACUGGGACUGAGACACGGCCCAGACUCCUACGGGAGGCAGCAGUGGGGAAUAUUGGACAAUGGGCGCAAGCCUGAUCCAGCAAUGCCGCGUGAGUGAUGAAGGCCUUCGGGUUGUAAAGCUCUUUCGCACGCGACGAUGAUGACGGUAGCGUGAGAAGAAGCCCCGGCUAACUUCGUG